rnacentral:lncRNA from 1 species
GGCGAUCCCCAAUAAGGCAACCCCUUCCCUUUCCCGAGCUAGGCAGCCUUUUUUUUUUCAACAACAAGCCGCGGCGGACAAGGAUAGCUUACGACAUUUAGACGCAAAGAGCAAAGCAACACCGGACGAAGUGUGCAAGAGCUAAAGGUAGUUGAUAUCGGGCGAAUCAAAGCAUACUUCCAGGUUUUCCAUCGGGAGUUGGUACCUCCCGACCCC